CGCCUCCUGCAAUAUAGAUAAGUAUAGGAGGUCCAACCUGCCCAGUGACCACAAGUUUAACGGCCGCGGUAUUUUGACCGUGCAAAGGUAGCGCAAUCACUUGUCUUUUAAAUAAAGACCCGUAUGAAUGGUUAAACGAGGGCUUAACUGUCUCCCAUUUCCAGUCAGUGAAAUUGAUCUACCCGUGCAGAAGCGGGUAUAAAUAUACAAGACGAGAAGACCCUUUGGAGCUUAAGGUACAAAACUCAACCACGUCAAUCAACUCAAUAAAAAGCAACUUUUUACUUAAACCUUAUGACAAAUGAGACUAUACCUUCGGUUGGGGCGACCAAGGAGGAAAGGAAAGCCUCCAAGUGGACUGGGUCAACACCCUAAAACUAAGAGAGACAUCUCUAAGCCACAGAACAUCUGACCAUAAAUGAUCCGGUCAAUUAAGACCGAUCAACGAACCAAGUUACCCUAGGGAUAACAGCGCAAUCCCCUCCCAGAGUCCAUAUCGACGAGGGGGUUUACGACCUCGAUGUUGGAUCAGGACAUCCUAAUGGUGCAGCCGCUAUUAAGGGUUCGUUUGUUCAACGAUUAAAGUCCUACGUGAUCUGAGUU
rnacentral:rRNA from 2 species